GACGAACGCUGGCGGCGUGCUUAACACAUGCAAGUCGAACGGAAAGGCCCUGCUUUUGUGGGGUGCUCGAGUGGCGAACGGGUGAGUAACACGUGAGUAACCUGCCCUUGACUUUGGGAUAACUUCAGGAAACUGGGGCUAAUACCGGAUAGGAGCUCCUGCUGCAUGGUGGGGGUGGGAAAGUUUCGGCGGUUGGGGAUGGACUCGCGGCUUAUCAGCUUGUUGGUGGGGUAGUGGCUUACCAAGGCUUUGACGGGUAGCCGGCCUGAGAGGGUGACCGGCCACAUUGGGACUGAGAUACGGCCCAGACUCCUACGGGAGGCAGCAGUGGGGAAUAUUGCACAAUGGGCGGAAGCCUGAUGCAGCAACGCCGCGUGCGGGAUGACGGCCUUCGGUUUGUAAACCGCUUUCGCCUGUGACGAAGCGUGAGUGACGGUAAUGGGUAAAGAAGCACCGGCUAACUACGUG
rnacentral:rRNA from 1 species